UACGAAGGGGGCUAGCGUUGCUCGGAAUCACUGGGCGUAAAGCGCACGUAGGCGGACUCUUAAGUCAGGGGUGAAAUCCUGGAGCUCAACUCCAGAACUGCCUUUGAUACUGGGAGUCUUGAGUUCGGGAGAGGUGAGUGGAACUGCGAGUGUAGAGGUGAAAUUCGUAGAUAUCGGGAGGAACACCAGUGGCGAAGGCGACUACCUGGCCUGUUCUUGACGCUGAGGCGCGAAAGCUAGGGGAGCAAACGGG
rnacentral:rRNA from 1 species